GGCCAGUCAAAAACAGAGUACAAUAAAGCUGGCUCAGGCUUAUGCAAUGAAUGUUCACAUACCAGAACUAAAUUACUGUUGCUUUUUAAAAACGUUGUGACAUUGAAAGCAAGUUUGUAAGGAUGUGCAAUUAAUUUCAGUCAAAAAUGAAAUUCGGAUAUUUAAGGAUACCACAUUAGGAUGCUAUUUGGGAGAUAGCAUCUUUAUUGUUUUAAUUUGUAUCAUUAUUAUAAUCCCACAUAAGGACCACAAAUUCAGGAGUUAUCUACGAAGCAGCUCAACAUUCUUACUUUUCUUACUCUUUCCUAGAGGAAAACUAUGUCAGGAAUACUCCUCAGACUAUACUUUUAAAAUUGCCGUUAAGGGCCAGGCCCUCCUCGGCUAACUUUAAAAAUGUGUAAAACUCACUUUUUUCCCAUGCCUCUCCCGCGCUUUAUUUUGCUUGGAUUAUCUAUCUUAAUU